AGCACACGGCCAGCGGCUUUCCUCCAGCCCGGCACUUUGUGACAUAGACUUCAAAUGUGGCGCCUCUCUUGUCCUGCCCCACCCCGACGCGUCCAGGUGAGUGGCUGGCCUCCAGCCUUUUGCUCUUUCAGCCACCAUGGCCACCUCAGAGGUCUCGGGGGUGCCUGGCAGAGGAUCAGUAAAAUCCCCCCUCACCCUCAAAACAAGCUGUCUCUUAGCAUUGGGGAUCAUCUCCCAUUCCCCGGGGGAAGUCAUGCCCAGAUGGAACGGCACCCCGCCUUCUCCAGGGCGGCCCAGGUCUGGCAGAGGGGGCCCGAGUGUCAACUGGGAGUCAGGAAGCCGCUGGGGAGAGCCAGGUGGGAUGGGGGCACCUAGGAUGGGUGGGGUCCAGCUGGAGAGAGAAGCAGAUGUGAGGGAAGUCCCAGGGAGUGAGGCUUCUGCUCCAGAGGAUGGGCCAAGGGGUGGCAUCCAGGGGACACCAAGACCCCAAGGGACACCUGGUCCCUGGGCUUCUGCUGGGCCCCACCAGGGUUGCAUCCUCAGCCCUAGGGAGCAGAGAGACGUCUUCUAG
rnacentral:lncRNA from 1 species